UAUAUAUAUGAGUUGUGAGUAUGGUAUGUGAAGUUUUGAACUCAUGAUAAAAUGAGUAUAUAUAAAUGAACGAGUGCUCCCCAGCAGCACAGGCCUUUGGCUGGGCUGUGCUGAGCUCAGGCCAGCAGAAGCAGGGCUGCACCCUCCGCAGGUGCUGUGCUGUUACCAGGAAAGUGAAAGCGAUGUCGUUUCUCAGGCAACAAAAGAUCAGUUCUGCGAGAAAACUGGGGCUUGAUUAACCAACCCGCCGUGCUUUCCUUAUUGCUAAAUAGCUCUGUAAUGAAGGGAAUGGAUAAAAAUAUCUUGAAAAAGUGAUUGCGGCGGUGUAGCUACGAAUGGAGAAAAAAUGGCGAGGAGAAAAUAUGUUCCAGAUGCAUUAUAGGCCUCUCUAGACCCAACUGCUAAUAUUACCGUAGCAUAUUUUCCCCUUUCCAAUCAACGUGCUUUUUCCAGUGGAUGCAGCCUCCUGUUAUUUGGGUGCCUGCAGUUACAGGUGCCCGGCUGCGUCCUGCAGGCCGGCUGCCUGCGGUGGCCCUGCAGCUCAGGAGGAAGGCUCCAGAAAAGCGAUGUGGCUCCUUGCUGUGCUCACAGGGGUAAGAUUCAGGAAGCAGGGUUAGCCUAGGAUGUGUUCCCUUCAGUUCUCUGAUAGCGUAUCCACAGCGAAAGCUAAUGGCGUUUUUACAGCCUGGUUAGCUGUGCUGUGUACGGCCGCACAGGCUGCAGCCUGGGUACGGUUUGUACAGCUGUGUGAUUGCACAAGGGCUGAGCAAACACUCGGUGCCUGGAGCAGUGCAAAGCUGGCUUCGCUCUGCCCUUGUGGGUUUGUGUUACGCUGUUGGGCCGCAGCGUUGGCGGGACGGCUGUGAUUCGUGCCCAUGCCGAGCAGUGCGCUGUGCUUUCACUUUCACAAGCAAGGCAUCUUUCUUCCUGCUCUAAGCUUCAUUAACAAAACUUCACAGCUCUCACAGGCAUUCCACUUCUGUCACGGCAAAUGUAAAACCCGACGAGUAGUAUUGCAUUUUUGUUACAGCGUACUUCCAGUGAACACAACUCAUCUUCUGCAUGGCACUGACCUUCUGGUUGGUAGGGCUGGUUGUCCUGCUUGCCCUGGAAUUCCAGCCAGGGAGUGCAUCCAGCAUGCGAGGAGGUAAUUUCCUCGUGGUCUCAGAGAGUGAAACCCCCUUCUUGCUGAGCUUCUGCAGGCAUCUGGUGGGGUUGGUGUCAGAGGCUGAAGAGAGGAAGGAUGCCUGCCGUGGGGAAGGGGAGUUGCCCUGCUCACCGCCUCCAGGGCAGAUCACUGGGAGGGAUCACCUCCUGCUGCAGCUUAGCAAUGGGCCCACAGUCCUGCGCCGAGAACAGAGGCUUUCACUGUCAGCUCCAUAUGCUCACACAGCUGUGUCGUUCUCUAACAUGAGCACAUCCAGCUUUUAUCCACUAUUAGUAGGUAAUCGAGUCAGGCACAGAGUUAAGCAGGAAUAUAUUCUGUCAUGAAAAAGGACCACAGAAUUUUGAAAAUGAAAAGCGCUUCUGCAUUUUGUAUUUUCCAUUAUUCAUCUGAUCUCUGAGAGCAGUUGCAGCUACACUUGCCCUUUUGUUUUUAAUGAGUUGCCUAUGGAUUCCAUUUCAUGUUCCUCCUGUAUAUACAGUACAUUUGCUCUCAGGGAGAACAUUUUUCCUGAAAGUUUUCAUCUGGCACAGAAGUGGGGAAGAAAGAGAAAUAUUUGAGCUAAGGAUCAUUAGUUGUGAUUUCUUCUUCAGCCUCCUUUCUGUGCUGUUAACAUCUCAGUGGUAAAGAGCAGAAACGUGAAAACUGGCAGGAAUGAUGUUCCUAUCUCAUAUGUGCCAUUCACAAGUCUGAAAAGGCUGGUUGAGAUAUAGGCAAAUUAUAGUGAUUUUUUUUUUUUUUUAAUCUAGUUAAUACAUAAUCAUUACUAAAAAAUAAUAAUGCUCAUAAUCUUCCUGUGUUCCUUUGGCUCGAUGACACUGUGCACUGUGUUUGAACAAUGGGAUGAAGUCUUUGGCUUUCUUGGGGUUUGCAUGUGUAGUAUGUGUGAUUAUAGUAUGCAUUUAUGAUUGUUCAUCUGUAUAAAAAUACACUUAUUAAACGUGGGCCAUGUGGUUAUGAUUUA